UUUUGAAUUUNAUAUAAAGUCUGACCUGCCCACUGAAUAAAUUUUAAAGGGCCGCAGUAUUUUGACUGUGCAAAGGUAGCAUAAUCAUUAGUCUUUUAAUUGAAGGCUGGUAUGAAUGGUUGGAUGAGAUACAAGCUGUGUCAUAAAAAUUAAAAUUUGAAUUUAACUUUUUAGUUAAAAGGCUAAAAUAAUUUUAAAAGACGAGAAGACCCUAUAGAGCUUCAUAUAAUAAAUAUUUAAAUUAUUAAGAUUUAUUAAAUUUAAUUUUUGUAUUAUAUUUUGUUGGGGUGAUAAUAAAAUUUAUAAAACUUUUAUUUUUAUUUAACAUUUAUUUAUGUUUAAAUGAUCCAUUUUUAUUGAUUAUAAAUUUAAGUUACCUUAGGGAUAACAGCGUAAUUUUUUUUGAGAGUUCUUAUCGACAAAAAAGAUUGCGACCUCGAUGUUGGAUUAAGAGUAAUUUUGGGUGUAGCAGUUCAAAGUUUAAGUCUGUUCGACUUUUAGAAUCUUACAU
rnacentral:rRNA from 1 species